rnacentral:misc_RNA from 1 species
GGCGAGAAUGUUGGAACAGGCUAGAAGCAAAGAAGAGUUCAGAAAGAACAAGGUAAUUGCCGAUGAGGCGGGGAACAAGGAAGAGCAAGUAAAGGUAGUUACAGAUGUGGUGGAACAGCAGAGAGAGAAAGCUGCAAAUGAGGCGAGAAUCAAUGAAGAGAAGAGAAAGAUAAUUGCAAAUCUGUUACACAAGGCGGAAGAUAAAAACUCUGAGAGCUUCCUAUAUUUACCUAGAAAAUCUGUUAUCACUUUUGUGGAGUGUUUAGAGGAAGCACACUAUUACUAUAACUUCAAGGACUAUGUAAAGAUGUGUGACAUCAUAAAGUAUGACAGUAGUCUGGACGACAUUUAUGAUAUCCUAGCUAAGAUGCCUGCACUAGAGUUGACCUUUAAAAAGGUUGAUGAAAAAUAUCUUCGAGAUGCCAUAGAGAUGCGCAUUUUGGACCUUGAUGCUGCUCAAAAAGCCAAUUUGCGAAAAGAAUAUGCUAAAUAUCUUCCAUGC